UUUGACCUAACCCUAAUCAUUUUCCUCUCCUUUCUAGCGCAGCCAGCCUCUCUUUUUUUCCCUCAGACUCUCGCUCUCCUAUAAACCCUAAUCCUAAAAUCGUAUUUUCUCUCAGUUUUAUUAGUGAUUGACUCUUAAAUCUUACACAAUACACUACUUGGUGAAGAUUAUGGAUUUCUGGAACCCCUUUCAUGUUUGGCUUUAAUUUUACAAGCACAGCCCCUUGAUUCUAUGGUUUCUGGCCCCAAUUCUGAGACUCAGACUGACUUUUGAUCUAAUAAUUAACACCUAAUUUUCUUAACUUUUACUUUACAUUUAGUUUGAUUUUUCAAUUACUGUAAUAUAGUAGACUUAAUUUGUAGUUCUUUAAUUUUUGCUACUUAAUUAGUUAAGUUGUUGGAUACUUGGAAUUGGAUGUAAUUUGCCUCUCAAAUUCUGUAAUGAGAGUUUGUUAUUUUAUUUA